rnacentral:rRNA from 1 species
CCUACGGGAGGCAGCAGUGAGGAAUAUUGGUCAAUGGGCGCGAGCCUGAACCAGCCAAGUAGCGUGAAGGAUGACUGCCCUACGGGUUGUAAACUUCUUUUAUAUGGGAAUAAAGUGCAGCACGUAUACCGUUUUGCAUGUACCUUAUGAAUAAGGAUCGGCUAACUCCGUGCCAGCAGCCGCGGUAAUACGGAGGAUCCGAGCGUUAUCCGGAUUUAUUGGGUUUAAAGGGUGCGUAGGUGGGUUGUUAAGUCAGUUGUGAAAGUUUGCGGCUCAACCGUAAAAUUGCAGUUGAUACUGGCAGCCUUGAGUACAGUAGAGGUAGGCGGAAUUCGUGGUGUAGCGGUGAAAUGCUUAGAUAGCACGAAGAACUCCGAUUGCGAAGGCAGCCUGCUAGACUGUAACUGACGCUGAUGCUCGAAAGUGUGGGUAUCAAACAGGAUUAGAUACCCGGGUAGUC